UACGUAGGUGGCUAGCGUUGUCCGGAUUUACUGGGCGUAAAGCGCGCGCAGGCGGUCGUUCAAGUCGAGUGUGAAAGCCCCCGGCUCAACUGGGGAGGGUCACGCGAUACUGAUCGACUCGAAGGCAGGAGAGGGUAGUGGAAUUCCCGGUGUAGUGGUGAAAUGCGUAGAUAUCGGGAGGAACACCAGUGGCGAAGGCGACUACCUGGCCUGUUUCUUGACGCUGAGGCGCGAAAGCUAGGGGAGCAAACGGG
rnacentral:rRNA from 1 species